CAGGCACGUUAUUAACAUCAAUAGUCUCCCCACAACAUGGCAAUGAGAGAGCUUGGAUUCGGUCUGCCUGAUUAGUAAGGCGGUAAGCACCAGCAGGCAGCUCGACCAGAGUAUGAGCUGCAGGUCACCGAAGACAGGCACGCAUCAGCGCCUAAAAACCUCCUCACAACAUGGCGAAGAGAGGACCCGGAUUCGGUUUGCCUGAUUGAUAGGACUUGUAAGAACCUGUGGCAACUCUAGCAAGUAGAGCAGAGUGUGUGCCGCGGGACACCGAAGACAGGCGCGUAUCAACGCCAAAAAAUAAAAAGAAA